rnacentral:rRNA from 1 species
UUACUAGGAUUAGAUACCCUAUUAUUAAAAAAUUAAAGAAAUAAUACUAAAAGAGUAAGUAAAAUUUUAUUGAAACUUAAAUAACUUGGCGGUAUUUUAGUUCAUUCAGAGGAAUCUGUUUAUUAAUUGAUAAUCCACGAAUAAAUUUACUUAAUUUAUUAUUUUGUAUAUCGUUGUUUAAAAAAUAUUUUUUAAUAAUUAAUAAUAUUUUAAAUUUUAAAUAAAAAAUUAAAUCAGAUCAAGAUGCAGAUUAUAAUUAAGAAUAUAAUGGAUUACAAUAAAUUUAUUUAUUAUGAAUUUUAAGUAGAAUAAUUUAAUUGAAAGUGGAUUUGAAUGUAAUUUUAUUUAAAUUAAUAAGAUGAUUUAUAAUUAAAAUAUGUACAUAUGCCCGU